rnacentral:rRNA from 1 species
AUGUGGUCCGCAGGCACGAUUGAAGAUACAGUCAUGGCUACCAUGAAAAGGCUGUUUAAGAUGGACAGAGUCACCCAUGUGGCAAGCGUGGAGCUGUGGGUGUUGCUGACAACACUGCUGCUGGUGGUGAGGUUCCUGCUGGACUGCUUCGGGCCGUGGAACGAUGACAGGGCCAUGGCGACCACCCUCCAAGUCAUCGAGAUGCUCAACUACUCCAUGGUGCACUACACCUUGGGGCUGAUGCAGCUCUCGGCGAAUAGGGUGAACGACUACUUUCAGGUCUGGGCGGUGCUGCUGGUAACCCUGCAGUACAGCGUCAAGACUGGGCGCCUGUAUCGGAGGUCGAAGCAGAUGCCGCUGCUGGAUCUCAUGUCCUCUUUAUGGGCAGCCAAUCUCCUCCGGAUGCAGACCUUCUCCCUUCUCAGGAUUCCUCUCUGGUUGAUAUGGGCCCUCAAUGCAGUUCGCAUCAUUUCAUACUUUGCUUCAUCCGAUAGGGCUGCCACCAUCAACCAAGACAACACCAGGCUGGUUAGCGACUAUAUGCGAUACGAGCACACACUCGGUCCCUCUCCCUCUGGUGAUGCUGCCGGUGAGUUCAGGAUGCAGUGGUGCCAGUACUUGGUCCGUGGGGAAGACUUGGUGCUUCAUGACACCCAACUGGAGACAAGUGCACCAACGCAAUACAGGGUUCGGUUGGAUCCAAAUAAUAACAAGCUUGUGACCAUACAGAAGAUAUGGGAUGUUGAUGCUGGCAGCAGUCGGUUGCUGGGUGACACCACAGACACUGACCACCAGCUGAAGGAUGUCUGCCUCUCAUUCGCCCUCUACAAGCUGCUACGCCGCCGGUUCUAUAAUCUACCGAUACACGAGGCCAGCCAAGAGAAGACGAGGCGGCUUGUCUUCGACUACAUCCUGCAGGAGAACAGCAACAACUAUGAGAGAGCAUUCCGCAUCGCGAAGGUGGAAUUGUCCUUCCUCCAAGACUUUUUCUAUAGCAAGCAUGCUGCUAUGUUUGCUGAUGGAUUUCCGGUCUUUAGUACGCUCAUGUCUUUGUCUCUGGUUGCGGCUACCGGAUACCUUGCAUACCCUGUUCAUUAUAUACCACAGAGGAUGGAUCAAGCCGACAAAAAUAUCAUCACCCACGGGGUGAUUGUCACUCGCAUCAUAAUUAGCCUUAUCAUUGCCAAGGAGCUGUCAGAGGUCUAUCUAUAUGUAUUCUCGCAAUGGACCAAGGUUCUGAUGAUCUGUAUGCAUGUCAAGCAUCGGUGCUGGCAGCAUCCAAUGGUGGAGGCAGCAAUGAGAAUGAUGUUCUGGUUCAUCAGGGGCAAGUGGGAUCACAUGAUCUUCCAGUAUAACUUUCUGAUUUCUGAUUCAAACAGUCGGAAGAAAUCUCCCCAACGCAUCAAGUUGGAGUCAGAAGUAAAGACGGCGAUAUUUGAGUCAUUUAAGGGCCUGCAGCAGCAUCCAGAAAGGUUGGAAUCCUACUUCUUGAAUGCCUUCAGAUCAAAGGAACACCUUAUGCAGCAGCUAACAUGGGCAACUGAACUGGAGGCUGAUACCCACAGGAUACUGGUCUGGCACAUCGCAACAUGCUUCUGUGAGAUACAUUUCUCUGACGGAGUACUAAAACAGAAGGUUGUAUUGCUUAAAAAUGGGCCCUUGGCCAAGAAAUCAACAACUCCAGAAGACGUGUGGCCUCAGUAUUUAACUGCCGUCAGCUUAUCCAACUACUGUGCAUAUCUGCUUACCAAAGCAUUGGUGCCGGACAAUGGCAUUCUUGUUAGGAAGGUCUUGAAUGCAGUACGCAUGGAAACCUUUCGUGCUACUUAUUGUUGCUUCUCCCAGUCAAUGCAUGACGUUUACGAAAAACUUAUCAAGAUUGCCACUAAGCCCUCUGAAGAGCGUGAGGAGGUGGUCAGUGAAGACGGUGAAGCCCCUGAGAAUUCGGUAAUCUAUGAGGAAGGGGUCACGGCGGCUUAUGAUGAAGAAGAUCCCAACGGAAUGGGAAAUGGCGACAUUUACAGUUCCAUAACCAAUGACCAGGUACCUAAUUCAAAGUCCGAGGAGGUGGUCAGUGAAGAGGGUGAAGCCCCUGAAAAUUCAGUAAUCUACGAGGAAGGGUUCACAGUGGCUUCUGAUGAGGAAGAUCCAAAUGGAAUGGAAGGUGGUAACAUUUAUGGUUCCAAAACCAAUGACCAGGUAUCCAAAAGUGGAGAUACUAUGAAGGCUGAUGAUGACAUCCAUAAUUCGAUAAUCCAGAUGGGUGCAAAGCUUGGGAAGCAGUUGAUAGAGAUUUACGAAGAAGACAGAAUAGACCUAUGGAAGGAUCUUGCAGCGUUCUGGACAGGUUUCCUCCUUGACUUGGCAGCCUCAACCAGAGCAGCCAAGCAUAAGACACGACUUGUUGGAAAGGAGGAACUCAUAACACAACUGUGGGCUUUGCUGUCUCAUGCCGGGUUUCUCGGAAAUACCAGGCACGGGCAAACACUCUUAGACCCAGAAGACCUUGAUGAUAUUGACCCGCUCAGAUGA